ensembl:snRNA U6 U6 spliceosomal RNA
GUGGUUGCUUGGGCAUCACAUAUACUAAAAUUGGAAUAAUAGAAGAUUUGCAAGCCUCCUGCAUACAGAUGACACACAAAUUCAUGAAGUGUUCUUUAUUAAA